AUUGAACGCUGGCGGCAGGCCUAACACAUGCAAGUCGAACGGUAACAGGGAUCAGCUUGCUGAUUCGCUGACGAGUGGCGGACGGGUGAGUAAUGUCUAGGAAACUGCCUGAUGGAGGGGGAUAACUACUGGAAACGGUAGCUAAUACCGCAUAACGUCGCAAGACCAAAGAGGGGGACCUUCGGGCCUCUUGCCAUCGGAUGUGCCCAGAUGGGAUUAGCUAGUAGGUGGGGUAACGGCUCACCUAGGCGACGAUCCCUAGCUGGUCUGAGAGGAUGACCAGCCACACUGGAACUGAGACACGGUCCAGACUCCUACGGGAGGCAGCAGUGGGGAAUAUUGCACAAAGGGCGCAAGCCUGAUGCAGCCAUGCCGCGUGUAUGAAGAAGGCCUUCGGGUUGUAAAGUACUUUCAGCGGGGAGGAAGGGAGUAAAGUUAAUACCUUUGCUCAUUGACGUUACCCGCAGAAGAAGCCCCGGCUAACUCCGUG
rnacentral:rRNA from 1 species